GUUGUCCUGCCAAGGGCAUAGCAGGGUAGCUAUAUAUGGAAUGGAUAACCGCUGAAGGCAUCUAAGCGGGAAACCAACCUGAAAACGAGUAUUCCCUUGAGAGCCGUGGAAGACGACCACGUUGAUAGGCCGGGUGUGGAAGCGCAGCAAUGUGUGAAGCUUACCGGUACUAAUAGCUCGAUUGGCUUGAUCGU
rnacentral:rRNA from 1 species